UGGGGAAUUUUGCACAAUGGGGGAAACCCUGAUGCAGCGACGCCGCGUGAUUUAGAAGGCCUUCGGGUUGUAAAAAUCUUUUCUAUGGGAAGAAAAUGACAGUACCAUAGGAAUAAGGACCGGCUAAUUACGUGCCAGCAGCCGCGGUAAUACGUAGGUGGCAAGCGUUGUCCGGAUUUAUUGGGCGUAAAGCGAGCGCAGGCGGUUUCUUAAGUCUGAUGUGAAAGCCCCCGGCUCAACCGGGGAGGGUCAUUGGAAACUGGGAGACUUGAGUGCAGAAGAGGAGAGUGGAAUUCCAUGUGUAGCGGUGAAAUGCGUAGAUAUAUGGAGGAACACCAGUGGCGAAGGCGGCUCUCUGGUCUGUAACUGACGCUCAGGUGCGAAAGCGUGGGGAGCAAACAGG
rnacentral:rRNA from 1 species